rnacentral:rRNA from 1 species
CGGUUGAUCCUGCCGGACCCGACUGCUAUUUGGGUGAGGAUAAGCCAUGCAAGUCAGAUGGGAUACCUAAAUUUCCCAUGGCGAACUGCUCAGUAACACAUGAUCAACUUGCCCUAUAGAGAAAAAUAACCUCGGGAAACUGAGGAUAAUGUUUCAUAGUUGAAUUGGCUUGGAAAAGUUUUUCAAUAAAAUGGAUGAAAAAAAAUGGUUUUUAUCUGCUAUAGGAUAGGAUCGUGGUCGAUUAUGGUUGUUGGUGAGGUAACGGCUCACCAAGCCGAUAAUCGAUAGGGGCCGUGAGAGCGGGAGCCCCGAGAUGGGUACUGAGACAACGACCCAGGCCUUACGAGGCGCAGCAGGCGCGAAACCUCCGCAAUACACGAAAGUGUGACGGGGUUACCCAAAGUGUUCAAUUUUGAACUGUGGUAGGUGAGUAAUGUUCCCUACUAGAAAGGAGAGGGCAAGGCUGGUGCCAGCCGCCGCGGUAAAACCAGCUCUUCAAGUGGUCGGGAUAAUUAUUGGGCUUAAAGUGUCCGUAGCCGGUUUAGUAAGUUCCUGGUAAAAUCGGGUAGCUUAACUAUCUGUAUGCUAGGAAUACUGCUAUACUAGAGGGCGGGAGAGGUCUGAGGUACUACAGGGGUAGGGGUGAAAUCUUAUAAUCCUUGUAGGACCACCAGUGGCGAAGGCGUCAGACUGGAACGCGCCUGACGGUGAGGGACGAAAGCCAGGGGAGCGAACCGGAUUAGAUACCCGGGUAGUCCUGGCCGUAAACGAUGCAUACUAGGUGAUGGUACGGCCAUGAGCCGUAUCAGUGCCGUAGGGAAACCGUUAAGUGUGCCGCCUGGGAAGUACGGUCGCAAGGCUAAAACUUAAAGGAAUUGGCGGGGGAGCAC